CGGGGAAUAUUGCACAAUGGAGGGAACUCUGCUGCAGCGACGCCGCGUGAACGAAGAAGGCUUUCGAGUCGUAAAGUUCUUUUAUAUGGGAAGAUAAUGACGGUACCAUAAGAAAAAGCCCCGGCUAACUACGUGCCAGCAGCCGCGGUAAUACGUAGGGGGCUAGCGUUGUCCGGAAUCACUGGGCGUAAAGGGUUCGCAGGCGGAAAUGCAAGUCAGGUGUAAAAGGCAGUAGCUUAACUACUGUAAGCAUUUGAAACUGCAUAUCUUGAGAAGAGUAGAGGUAAGUGGAAUUUUUAGUGUAGCGGUGAAAUGCGUAGAUAUUAAAAAGAAUACCGGUGGCGAAGGCGACUUACUGGGCUCAUUCUGACGCUGAGGGACGAAAGCGUGGGUAGCAAACAGG
rnacentral:rRNA from 1 species